rnacentral:rRNA from 1 species
UGCGUAGGCGGAUUAAUAAGUCAGUGGUGAAAUCUUUCGGCUCAACCGAGAAACUGCCAUUGAUACUGUUAAUCUUGAGUUCGGUUGAGGUAGGCGGAAUGUGUAAUGUAGCGGUGAAAUGCUUAGAUAUUACACAGAACACCAAUUGCGUAGGCAGCUUACUAGACCGACACUGACGCUGAGGCACGAAAGCGUGGGUAGCAAACAGGAUUAGAUACCCUGGUAGUCC